CAUAUUUUGGGGUUUUUUUUCAGAUUUCUCAGGUCACCACAUGAACUGUGACAUAGUUUCUCAAAUGUUGCUAUAGCCUAUGAACAUUAUCAGCCUCAGAAAGCUCUUAUUUUGGCCCUGUAAAAGAUUAUUUUCAAGAUUUGUGAUGAAAAGGAGAAAAAAGGAGGAUUUUCAAGAUUGUCCAAGAUUUUCAAGAAAAGCAAAAACUUCCUGUCUCAUGAAGACUUGAAUAACCUCUGUAACUACUUGUGUGGCUAAUUAAUAAAUGUGUACCAAAC
rnacentral:lncRNA from 1 species